CCCACCUAGUGGUCAUCAAAGUGGAUGCCCUCUCUGAGGCAGAACCAGAAAGUGCUUUCACUUUGUGUCUCGCUGUGUGGG
ensembl:miRNA